GGCGGCGUGCUUAACACAUGCAAGUCGAACGAUGAACCACUUCGGUGGGGAUUAGUGGCGAACGGGUGAGUAACACGUGGGCAAUCUGCCCUUCACUCUGGGACAAGCCCUGGAAACGGGGUCUAAUACCGGAUACAACCCGCUGACCGCAUGGUCGGUCGGUGGAAAGCUCCGGCGGUGAAGGAUGAGCCCGCGGCCUAUCAGCUUGUUGGUGAGGUAAUGGCUCACCAAGGCGACGACGGGUAGCCGGCCUGAGAGGGCGACCGGCCACACUGGGACUGAGACACGGCCCAGACUCCUACGGGAGGCAGCAGUGGGGAAUAUUGCACAAUGGGCGAAAGCCUGAUGCAGCGACGCCGCGUGAGGGAUGACGGCCUUCGGGUUGUAAACCUCUUUCAGCAGGGAAGAAGCGAAAGUGACGGUACCUGCAGAAGAAGCGCCGGCUAACUACGUGCCAGCAGCCGCGGUAAUACGUAGGGCGCAAGCGUUGUCCGGAAUUAUUGGGCGUAAAGAGCUCGUAGGCGGCUUGUCACGUCGGUUGUGAAAGCCCGAGGCUUAACCUCGGGUCUGCAGUCGAUACGGGCAGGCUAGAGUGUGGUAGGGGAGAUCGGAAUUCCUGGUGUAGCGGUGAAAUGCGCAGAUAUCAGGAGGAACACCGGUGGCGAAGGCGGAUCUCUGGGCCAUUACUGACGCUGAGGAGCGAAAGCGUGGGGAGCGAACAGGAUUAGAUACCCUGGUAGUCCACGCCGUAAACGGUGGGAACUAGGUGUUGGCGACAUUCCACGUCGUCGGUGCCGCAGCUAACGCAUUAAGUUCCCCGCCUGGGGAGUACGGCCGC
rnacentral:rRNA from 1 species